GACGAACGCUGGCGGCGUGCUUAACACAUGCAAGUCGAACGGAAAGGCCCUGCUUUUGUGGGGUGCUCGAGUGGCGAACGGGUGAGUAACACGUGAGUAACCUGCCCUUGACUUUGGGAUAACUUCAGGAAACUGGGGCUAAUACCGGAUAGGAGCUCCUGCUGCAUGGUGGGGGUUGGAAAGUUUCGGCGGUUGGGGAUGGACUCGCGGCUUAUCAGCUUGUUGGUGGGGUAGUGGCUUACCAAGGCUUUGACGGGUAGCCGGCCUGAGAGGGUGACCGGGCAGAGUGGGGGAGUGCUGCGGCAUGGGCGGAUGCCGGCGGCAGCAGCGGGGAGUGCGGGACGAGGGGCGGCAGCCUGUCACAGCCGCUCGGCGGGGGGGAUGAGGGCGUGCGGGUAGUAAACAAAGCUCGACCGUGAAGAACCGUGCGAGAGGCCGAUGGAUAAAGUCGCAACGGCGAGCCACAUG
rnacentral:rRNA from 1 species